rnacentral:rRNA from 1 species
CACACGACUCUCGGCAACGGAUAUCUCGGCUCUCGCAUCGAUGAAGAACGUAGCGAAAUGCGAUACCUGGUGUGAAUUGCAGAAUCCCGCGAACCAUCUAGUCUUUGAACGCAAGCUGCGCCCGAGGCCACUCGGCCGAGGGCACGCCUGCCUGGGCGUCACGC